AAUAUUUGAGUUCAAAACAAUAAAUAUAUGCUUAUGGGAUAGCAACAAAGCUAACACUUUGUUCAAUUUUGCUUAUAAUAAUUUAAUUGAUAAUAUUGUGCAUCAUGAUAUUGGAAAAAAUUCAUCACUUACUCCGUCUUUGUCUUAUAUUAUUUUCGGUGUUUUUUUUUCUUUGUAGUUUUGUUUUUGAUCUUUUCGUUUGAUGGUUGUGCCCGUUAUAUCUUGUAGUUUUUACUAUAUUUUU
rnacentral:lncRNA from 1 species